GAUGAACGCUGGCGGCGUGCUUAACACAUGCAAGUCGAACGGACUUAAGAUAAGAGCUUGCUCUAAUCUUAAGUUAGUGGCGGACGGGUGAGUAACGCGUGGGUAACCUGCCUCACACUGGGGGAUAACAGUUAGAAAUGGCUGCUAAUACCGCAUAAGCGCACGAUACCGCAUGGUUUAAUCGUGAAAGAUGGCCUCUACAUGUAAGCUAUCGCCAAAGGAUGGGCCUGCGUCUGAUUAGCUAGUUGGUGGGGUAACGGCUCACCAAGGCGACGAUCAGUAGCCGGUCUGAGAGGAUGAACGGCCACAUUGGGACUGAGACACGGCCCAGACUCCUACGGGAGGCAGCAGUGGGGGAAUCUUCCGCAAUGGACGAAAGUCUGACGGAGCAAUGCCGCGUGAGUGAUGAAGGUUUCGGACCGUAAAGCUCUUUUGUUAUGACGAAUGUGCAUGAUGUGAACAAUGUUGUGU
rnacentral:rRNA from 1 species